CUAUGGUGAAUUGAGCAGCUAUGAACAUUGAUGUGGCUGUAUCUCUGUAGUAUGCUGAUUUUAAGUCCUUUGGGUAUAGGCCAAGGAGUGGGAAGCUGGGUCAAAUGGUGGUUGGUAGUAACAUUUUUGAAAGACCAUUUAAGAAGUGAAGAUAGUGAAAUUGCACCUUAUAUAUUGUAUAAACUGCGAAGUGUUCAUUGUAAGAGCAUCUCACUGAAGGACACACAUUAUCAGACAUUUGUCCUGUUCUUCCUUUUACUACCUGUAGAUUUGAGUCACUUUUAUUUACAUGUUAUUUAGAUGUUAUUUUGGAAAUUUAGGAAAUUUCAUAAAGGCAUUAUCAUCAGAAGAACUGUUUUCACAUGCUAUACCUAAUUAUAUUUAGAAUAUAGAUUAUAUCCCUUUUUUAUAAACUGAGUCUUAGAUGUUUGUAUCAACAUGUAACGGCCAGGUUAAAGCCAUUUUUACAUUGCCACACAGACAUCAGGAACUGAACUGAAAGUAAGGGAAUGGAAUUAUUUAUAUUUGAUUGGCUAAGUGGCUAAUUGCUGAUGAUUAUGAUUCAGUGUACUAGAAAAUUUUAAAUCAGUGUGGUUUGUCAUACUGAAAUUUGGGGUUAUGACCACUUUACAGAUUUAACUCAGAUUAUAUUACUACCCACUACACUUUAGUAAUUAAGAGUCAUACUUCAGAAUAAAAUUAAACUCUGCUAUUAUUUACUGUUUCACUUAUCUGAAAAGGAAUGCUAAAGAAUAAGUAGUAGGAAUUGUAUUUUUCUCUCAUUAAGUACCUGUAAUUUCAGCAGGGCAUGGUGGCACACGCUUGUAAUCCCAAUGGCUUAGGAAGCUGAGCCAGAAGGAUCACAAGUUGGAGGCCCUCAGAAACUUAGUGAGACCCUAUCUCAAAAAAAAUUUUUAAAGGGCUGGGGAUGUGUUUCCCUGGGUUCAAACCCUGGUACCAAAAAAAAAAAAAAAAAAAAAUCCAUAAUUUCUAGAUGUGUAUUUAAUAUGCUCAUUUACUCCUGGCACAUAAACCUGUGUCAGUCCCCUGAGUACCUUUCAUACCUUGUAGUUGGCCUUUGCUCUUCCAUUUUGCCUGCCUCUUAGUCCUGCCACAUCAAUAUAACCUCACUGUUGUUUGUUCUGACAAAUGUUCUAAUAUAACCAUAUUGUUAGAAUAUACCUAGACUUCAUUCAAAAAUCUCAUGCUACAACUUUGCCUUAAAUUAAAGAGCAGAAAAAAAGAAAAUAAAAGGAAAAGAAGAAAGAUGUAAGGCAUCUCAUUGUCUGGAACUGCCCUGGUUUCUCAGAUUCUGGCAAGUCCCUAGCAUCUUUCCAUUGCCUUCAAAUUCUUGCAGAGAAAUGAAACAUCAAGCUCAC